rnacentral:lncRNA from 1 species
UGGAAAAAAGAUCUGUGGAAGAAUAUAGUGUCGUGCUAGGGUUAAUACCUCCCCUAGACUUAUGGAGAAGAAGCAUAGGGAGAGAGAAAGAGAGAAGCUUGAAGAGAACCUAGGGUUGGCUUGAUUAAAAAAGAUGGAGGCCUUGGGGUUCUAUUUAUAGAGUGGGAAGGCUAGAGUUUCAUGAAAAGAGAGGUGGGAGCGUGAAUAAG